UUAGUCAGUUGUCAGAUAUCAGUAGUAUUUCAUGAGUCAAUAGAACUUAGUAACUCAGCUCAUGUUCACUUCAGUAAAUCAUGUUCAGUGUCCAUUCAGAGAGUUAGAAUUAGACCUGGGUGAACCCAAGGAUGGGGACACACAUUAUUAAAUGAGGGUGUGAUCCUUAGAAGUCAUCCUUGUACUCAAAAACUAUGUAGCGAACAUAGGUUGUGACAUCAACAUUGUACGAUGAGGUUCGAUGAGGUGGAUAAGCACUGU
rnacentral:lncRNA from 1 species